GGGCCUGUAGCUCAGUUUGGAUAGAGCGGCACUCUCCUAACUUUUCGGCCGGCCUGGCAGCAGGUUGGUCCAAAUCUGGAGCUAGGUGAAGGUCGGGGGUUCAAAUCCUCCCAGGCCCG
rnacentral:tRNA from 1 species